AUCUAUGGCCAUACCACUCUGAAUGUGCCCGAUCUCAUCUGAUCUCAGAAGCUAAGGAGGGUUGUGCUUGGUUAGUACUCUGAUGAGAGGGAAAAAAGGGGUGAGUAAAUA
rnacentral:rRNA from 1 species